rnacentral:rRNA from 1 species
UACGUAGGGGGCAAGCGUUGUCCGGAAUCAUUGGGCGUAAAGCGCGCGUAGGCGGCCCUGUAAGUCCGCUGUAAAAGUCAAAGGCUCAACCUUUGAAAGCCGGUGGAUACUGCAGGGCUAGAGUCCGGAAGAGGCGAGUGGAAUUCCUGGUGUAGCGGUGAAAUGCGCAGAUAUCAGGAGGAACACCAAUGGCGAAGGCAGCUCGCUGGGACGUGACUGACGCUGAGAGACGAAAGCUAGGGGAGCGAAUGGG